ACAUUUUAUGAUGACAUUAUACCGCCCCAGUCUGAAACUCAUGCUGAAGGUUUGAUCUGAAUAUUU
rfam:Acyrthosiphon pisum strain LSR1 Contig29467, whole genome shotgun sequence.